rnacentral:rRNA from 1 species
AACGAACGCUGGCGGCAGGCUUAACACAUGCAAGUCGAACGCCCCGCAAGGGGAGUGGCAGACGGGUGAGUAACGCGUGGGAAUCUACCCAGCUCUACGGAACAACUCCGGGAAACUGGAGCUAAUACCGUAUACGUCCUUCGGGAGAAAGAUUUAUCGGAGUUGGAUGAGCCCGCGUUGGAUUAGCUAGUUGGUGGGGUAACGGCCUACCAAGGCUACGAUCCAUAGCUGGUCUGAGAGGAUGAUCAGCCACACUGGGACUGAGACACGGCCCAGACUCCUACGGGAGGCAGCAGUGGGGAAUAUUGGACAAUGGGCGAAAGCCUGAUCCAGCCAUGCCGCGUGAGUGAUGAAGGCCUUAGGGUUGUAAAGCUCCUUCAGUGGGGAAGAUAAUGACGGUACCCACAGAAGAAGCCCCGGCUAACUUCGUGCCAGCCGCCGCAGUAAUAC